rnacentral:tRNA from 1 species
GCCCUCGUAGCUCAGUGGUUAGAGCACUGGUCUAGUAAACCAGGGGUCGAGAGUUCGAUUCUCU